GGUUGUUUGGCCGAGCGGUCUAAGGCGCCUGAUUCAAGAGUUCGCCUCUUAGCUGCGACNCGAACACUCAGGUAUCGUAAGAUGCGUGAGUUCGAAUCUCACAGCAACCA
rnacentral:tRNA from 1 species